rnacentral:rRNA from 1 species
GAGUUUGAUCCUGGCUCAGGAUGAACGCUAGCGGCAGGCUUAACACAUGCAAGUCGAGGGGUAACAUAGGAAGCUUGCUUUCUGAUGACGACCGGCGCACGGGUGCGUAACGCGUAUACAAUCUACCUUAUACUGGGGUAUAGCCUUUAGAAAUGAAGAUUAAUCCCCCAUAGUCUCUUAGAGUGGCAUCACUUCUAGAGUAAAGGUUACGGUAUAAGAUGAGUAUGCGUUCUAUUAGUUUGUUGGUGUGGUAACGGCACACCAAGACUACGAUAGAUAGGGGCCCUGAGAGGGGGAUCCCCCACACUGGUACUGAGACACGGACCAGACUCCUACGGGAGGCAGCAGUGAGGAAUAUUGGACAAUGGAGGCAACUCUGAUCCAGCCAUGCCGCGUGCAGGAAGACUGCCCUAUGGGUUGUAAACUGCUUUUAUACAGGAAGAAACACUCCCUCGUGAGGGAGCUUGACGGUACUGUAAGAAUAAGGAUCGGCUAACUCCGUGCCAGCAGCCGCGGUAAUACGGAGGAUCCAAGCGUUAUCCGGAAUCAUUGGGUUUAAAGGGUCCGUAGGUGGAUAAUUAAGUCAGAGGUGAAAGUUUGCAGCUCAACUGUAAAAUUGCCUUUGAUACUGGUUAUCUUGAGUUAUUGUGAAGUAGUUAGAAUAUGUAGUGUAGCGGUGAAAUGCAUAGAUAUUACAUAGAAUACCAAUUGCGAAGGCAGAUUACUAAUAAUCAACUGACACUGAUGGACGAAAGCGUGGGUAGCGAACAGGAUUAGAUACCCUGGUAGUCCACGCCGUAAACGAUG